rnacentral:rRNA from 1 species
UACAGAGGGUGCGAGCGUUGUCCGGAAUCACUGGGCGUAAAGGGCGCGUAGGUGGUAACCUAAGCGUGCGGUGAAAGCCCGGGGCUCAACCCCGGGUCGGCCGUGCGGACUGCGGGGCUGGAGCACUGUAGGGGCAGAUGGAAUUCCGGGUGUAGCGGUGGAAUGCGUAGAGAUCCGGAAGAACACCGGUGGCGAAGGCGGUCUGCUGGGCAGUAGCUGACGCUGAGGCGCGACAGCGUGGGGAGCAAACAGG